rnacentral:lncRNA from 1 species
AGAAUCCCUCCCUUACCACCUUUGCUCUUUGAACAUCUCAUUUUGCCAGUCCCCACUCCCACUUUGCCCCAUCUUGCUCCAAGGCUGGCAAACUUUGCUGGAGAAAACCACAAAAGUACUGAUGGAGCUGUCUGCCACUUGUGUCUGUCUUGGCCUGGACCUCAGUGGCAUUAGUCAUCUGUAUGAGGAGAAAUGGCCAUAGGUCCUUUUCGUGGCAGAUGAUGGGACUAAUCACUACUGUGCAUGCUUGCUGUGACAUUGCAGGGCCAUUCCUCAAGACACCCACCCUGGCUCUCCUUCAGAAGACUGGCUCUGGCUCUGACAUCUGCCUCAGAAAACGUUUGCUGACCCCUGACCUAGAAGCUGUGAGGGCUGGUGGAGGAAAUCUUGUGAAGGGCAAGUAUCAUUUUGUAAAGCUCUGCCUCAGAGUGAAGAACAAUUCCUGGAGUGACCCUGACACCAGUGGGAAGCAAACAGGAAGAAGCAAAUCCCUUCUUCCUCCUCCAGCCUCCAGUGUCCCUCCAGCAUCCUCAGGGCCUCCUAGAGCCUAACAGGGAGCAGCUGCAGAGUGGAAAUAUGUGGUGUUCAGAGUCUUAGCUCCAACACCACAUAGUAGGGGUUACCAGGCUGAGCUGCAGUUGCUUAAUCAGCAGCACACGUCCCAGUUAUUCACAGGAGAAGAGAGUCUUCAUAACUGUGAUGCUAAAGCAUGCCAGGAGGAUAUUAUCACCCACUCACCACUAAGAACCAGCUCCUUGUUGCCACCUGAGCAGGAAAUGAUCCAAGACUGAGGAUCUGCUGCCUGGACCCCUUCUAAUACCAACUGUCUUAAUGUGGGUUCCCAGAAGCCAACCCUGAGGCAAGGAUUUGAGUGAAGUGGUUUAUUUGGGAGGUAGAGGGACAAAUAAAGUGUGUGUUGCCAGCCAG